UUCGAGUACAGGGAGUGGAGUCCGCUGUAUACUCGCGUCACCGAACGAAAGACUUACGCGGUAUGUAACGCCGCCGGCCGCGGG
rnacentral:sRNA from 12 species